rnacentral:rRNA from 1 species
UACGGAGGGUGCAAACGUUGCUCGGAAUUAUUGGGCGUAAAGAGCUCGUAGGCGGCCUGUCGCGUCGGCUGUGAAAACCCGGGGCUCAACCCCGGGCCUGCAGUCGAUACGGGCAGGCUAGAGUCCGGCAGGGGAGACUGGAAUUCCUGGUGUAGCGGUGAAAUGCGCAGAUAUCAGGAGGAACACCGGUGGCGAAGGCGGGUCUCUGGGCCGGAACUGACGCUAAGGAGCGAAAGCGUGGGGAGCGAACAGG